rnacentral:lncRNA from 1 species
UCAAAUUUCUGAGCUGAACAACACUUGCAGGUAAUUCUUUUAUACUAGUGUCUCUUAUAUCCAGUGUCUGCAAAAGCUGCAACUUGCCUAUGUCCAUUGGGAGUUCGCGAACAUCUGCAUCCUUGAGCCCUAGGUACCUUAGGUGAAUUAAAUUCCCUACAUACUUGAGGCUGAUGCCAGAGCUACUUUCAUGGCUGCCACAAUUUCCAAGAUCCAGCACACGCAAAAAUUGAAAGCUUGAGAGAGAUGGCAACCAAUCACAGGUAACAGGAGAAAAAACAGCAAAGGUCCUCACUUUUGACAGGCUAGUGCUUUCAAUCUGAUGGUUCUGAACCUUUGCCUUGAUAUUAUGAAGUGAUAACCUGCGAAAUUUCUUUGCCGAUUAGGUGCAUUCCACUCCGCAUUAUCCAAUAUGGAGAUAAAAUUCUCCUCACUUGACAGCGAGCAUAUAAGGUCAAGCACCAUAUCAUGUAUACGGCAAGUUACUACUGUUCCUUCAUAAUUGGUUUCCGCUGGCUGGAUCAAGCUCCUGUUCAUAAGCUCGUUGAAGUAGCUCUUUCCGAUCUCAAACAGCCUGGUUUCAUCUUUGUCACAUUGGAUAAACCCUUCAGCAAGCCACCUCCAUAUCAGCAAAUCUCUGUUAAUCUCAAAGUCUUCAGGAAAGAUGCUUAGGUAUAACAAACAAGCCUUCAGAUGCGAAGGCAAAUCAUAAUAGCUGAGUGAUAAUAUCCUCUUCAUGUCCUUCACAAUACCACCUUCUGUAACUCCACGGCCCAUCGAACUGUGCACAUGCAUCCAUUCUUCUUUCUGCUUUAUCCUUUGGUUACAAGGCUAGCUAUUGUAAUGAUGGCUAAUGGUACUCCACCACAUUUCUUCAGUAUCUCUCUUGAUACUGCUCGCAAAUCUUCUGGACAUUUCUCCUCGCUUUGAAAUAUUCUUCUAUGCAAGAGUAUCUGCGACUCUUCAUCGGAAAGAGGUUUCAUUUUGUGAAUCAUGUCAUCACUGGAAGAGAGACAUGCUUCAGACACACUCAUAUUGCGGGUUGUUGUGAUUACCCGACUAUGAAGUUUGUUUUUAUACAAAGCACAAUUUAUACAUCUCCAUAUUUGUUCUUCCCAUAUAUCAUCGAUUACGAUGAGGUACCUAUGUCAAAUAUUUUGAUAUCAUUAGUUGGCAAGUCAUCUAUAUACAACUAAAGUUUGUAACAAGGAUAAACUGUAAGGUACUAAAGCAAACCAUAGGCUUAUAUAACCACUAAGGAUAUGCAUGUAAAAAUAUUAAGAAAUGCAACAGAAAUUGCUUAAAAGUAUACAUGAAUAACAAAAAUAAGGCGUGUGCGCAAAAAAGAAAGAAGUAGAAUUUGGUAAAAAAGAACAAAACUACUACAGAUAUAAAAGCUAUGUUUUAAAGGCGUCUCUAAGGCGACGCCUAGGCGUCGAGGCGCCCCCCAGCGCUUUGCAAAUAUGCCCGCUUUAGGCGCCUAGGCGUCGCCUAGGCGUCGAAGCGCGCCCCCAGCGCCUUAAAGCAAGGCGUCGCCUUUAAAACAUAGUAUAAAAGUAUAACAAAUAAGGAAUGAAGAUAUGAAACUCAGUAUACAUCUCACUACUUCACACAUUUCCGAAAUAUAUACAAAAGGACACAAGCACUACGUGAUGCAUACCUCUUAUCCACAAGGUAAUCACUGAUUUGCUUGAUGAGUAGAUUUUCAUCCCGUGUUGUAUUAUGAAUGUCACUGAACUUUUCAGUGUCAAGGCCAUAGAGUAAGUCCUUGAAAACUUUCUUGAUAUCUGGGUUCUGACCCACGGGGACAAAAGCCACACAAUCAAAUUGGGUUUUGAUCUUCUCAUAGACUGCUUUGGUGAGCGUUGUCUUGCCUAGCCCACCAACACCAACAAUAGAGAUCGUCUUCAAUUGCUCCUUGGGACUCCCGUCCUCACAAAUCAGUGUUUUGAUAAGCUCAUCCCUUGUGCGGUCAACCCCAACAAGCUCCUCUACAUUUUUGUGUAGAGCUAACACACGAGGGUCAAUGGUAGCACCGCUGGUAGUGCUACACAUGUCAAGCUCAUACCUUUUACGUAGGUCCACCAACUCCUUGGCAAGAUCCUGAGCUUCUUCAAUGGCAUCACAUAUUUGAUGAAGUGCUUUGCCCUUAACAAACAGUUUGGUGGUCUUCUUGAGGAACUUCUUGACUCGAGUCCUCAUGUCCGUUGGCUUACUGCCUGAACCCUCACCAACACGCACCAGGAAGUCGUCAACAGCGUCUUCCAUGUCACAAGACAGGUCUCUCACCUUGCCAGCCCAAAUCCGGACCGGCUCCUGGAGCUGAUACGGCGGCACCUUGCCAACCUCACGAAGUACGGCGUGCAUCAUCUCCAACUCUAUAAGGAGUGACUGUACACCUUUCUUUACUCGGUUCUCCAGGUUGUAUUCUCUGGCGAGCAGCUCACCGAGCUUACGGAGGACAGGGGUCAAUGCCCGAGCAGCAGCCUCCAUAUCACAAUCCUUUAUUUGUCUUUGCUCCCGAUCUACGCACCACUAUACCACUGUCCUUGGGUUGAACUUCUGUAAUGCAAACAUAAAGGUUUUCAGAAGACAUAAUGGGCAAAACCUGAACUUGGUGGUUGGUGCGAGUAACAGCAAACUGUGCACAUAUGCAUUGCCGCUUUGGCUAUCCAAAGCAGAAGUAGAAGUGUACCCUGAAUAUCAGCUCCUUCAAAUCCAAUUUGCAGAAUCCUUUGCAACAGCUACCCAAGAUGAACUAGUGGAGAAUAGAUCCAGUUCUGCACGUCAUAAAUCCACAUCAGAAUCAUCAAAAUGACUAAAAAGGAAGAAAGUUGUACAGAGGAGCUAACUGUUUUCACAGAACCACUGGAUGAGCAAAAGCUGGAUAUUUUGGUUUGUGAAAGUAAGAGCUCAUGUAUAUGCAUUGCAUUACCUUUCCAAUAAAUUGAAUAACAACACGUGAUGGAAUGAAACUAAAGAGUGAAACAACAAGAGAUCUGAUUUUGGAAAAGCAUGAUCUGAUUUUGGUUGGUCACAGAGUGAAAAGGAAAAAAUGCAGCACCCCUCAGAACAUGGAUAGGUACUAAGCUUUGACCAUUGACCAUUUUCCCUUUGCUUUAUUUUUUGUUCUUAUUCUUUACAAAAAUUCCCUGAUCUACAUAUUUUAACCGUUUUACUUUGAUAUUUUAACCUUUUCACUAUAAAAAAUUUAAAUGAAAAUAGCAACAAAAGAUUAAGGAGGGGAGAACAGAUGGACCAAGAGUUGACCCUCUCCUUGCUCUGGAUCUACACAUAUGGCUGUAAUGGAAACAAACACAGGUGGCACAAGUUGAAGAAGAGCACCUUCAACACUACACAGCAACUCUGCACCUCCAGUUAGCAAAUCCCUCUGCUGAGCGAGAGUGUUCAAUAGAUCCAACUCUACACAUCACGGAUCCAAAUCAGAACAGGAAAAGAAGAGAGCUGUGCACUAACUAGAUCGAGAGCUCAACUGAAUGUAUUGAACAGCAGAGGAGGAAGAGUACCUUUGGCGCCGUCGCCGUCGCCGAUUGGGAGGAGACCACCGCUAAAAGUCGCCGCAGAGAGCCAGAGACGAACGAAAGAAGCACCGAGUAGGAGUGGUGUUGUGGAUCUGGAGUGAUCUGUGGCUGUGCUCAUCUCAUUCACUCAGCACAUCGGUACAUUAUUGGGCACUGUGCAGACAGCAGCCUUCAAUUGGAACAGUUGCGAUCACUAUUUCAACCGACGUGUGUGGCCCUCGUAUUUUGAUUCCGGCAUUCACGUAUCUUAAAUCCGAACUCUUAAAUUCAUGUAAAUACAUGCACGUGAAUCAUACAAGCCAAUGUCGCACGUAAAUAUGAAAUGUUGGUACGAAGCAUAGAUAGUGUUUACAUAAAAUUUAUUUUAAGUGACAAACUCAAGCAUUGGCUUCUUGCUUGCCAUCCACAUGUGUUUCACAAGAUCAUUGAGUAGUUGCGUGUGCACCUGCUGAUCUCGAAGAUUCUGAUGCAUUUGCAGAAAGUUCAUCAGCUGAGCCACAUCUUGAUCUUCCGGGAUUUCUACUUGUUCUCCAAGUACUUGAAGUUGAGAAUAUGCUUCACUUGGUGGUCCAUUUCCUCUUGCAUGCUCAUGAACAUAAUCAUGUCCACUUCUUCAUCCGAAUCUGAGGAAUCGAAGAACUCAUCUUCAAUCAUUUGGUCAAGCUCUGUGGGUCCAUACUCCUCAUCCGAGGAAGCAUCAGAAUCCAUCCUUUUCCCUAACAAAAUUACAAAAAAAAGACAAUGUGUCAAACACAUCAAGCGCCAGGCAGAGCCAGAGAGUUGCCGGACGUACUGCGGUGGCAUCCGGGCUAGAGACGACGUCUCCCGCGGCGAAGACGGGAGAGAGGACUGCUCUGCCGGAGCUGCCGGCGCAGAGGCUAGGGACGGCUGUGGAGUGCCGUGGCGACGGAGCUGCGAGCCGGACAAUGCGGAGGAGGAAGAAGAGAUGAGAGAUCAAAUGGAUCCGAUAGCUCUGGGGGGUGAACUUGAUGCAAUUUGAGGUGGGGCCGGGCUCUCGGAUCCGACGUGGCGGGCGUGCCCGGGCGCCCCCAUAUCCGUCCCAUAUUUGGGUUGGAUAUGAGGGGUGCUGGUCAGUCCGAUCGUUUGAGGGCUGUUCGAGGGGGCCAUCUGGGUUAAAAAACGUGACCGGGCGGCCCGCCCGAGCAUAUGGGGCGGGUUUGAGGUGCCCGAUUGUAGAUGCUCUUAUCAAGUAAACAAAUCAAAACUGGGACAUAAGUAGGAAACCGAGUUGUACAAGACCAACAUUGUCGACAAAAAAGCUAGGGAACUUCAGAAUUAAGUAUGUAGAAAACUUGGACACAGUACAACAAUAUAUUCCAAACUUGAUCAUGUUUCCCUAAUACUAGCAAAAGAGCCCAUACAUUGUAACGGGAGAAAAAACCCCACAUGUGAAACAAACAUCAUAUUUAGAUUGUACACAUUUUUCUAAUCAAUUGAGGUGUACACGGGUUUGAGGGACCAGUGGACGGCUUCUUUGAUGGAGCGGUGCUUCAUCUUACACAUUGAUGGCGGCGGAUUUCGGCAGCAUGGCACAGUGGAGACUCGGCAUCCGAUGCACGAAGAUGAACUCGUGCAGGAGGAGGAUGCUGUCUGGCGUCGUGGUGGCGUCAAUGGCAAAGAGGCCUGACAAGGUCAGUGCGUUAGUUUCUGCUCUGAAGAUGGUUGGUGGAGAAGACGGCGGCGACGACACAUGAGAGUACGUCGGACCGGUUUGUACCCCAUACCCAGUAUAUGGCUUGGUUGAGGCCUCCGGCUUUAGAUGUUACGCUUUGGUGUGAUAUCUAUUUGGUAUUAGACUCGGACUAUCGGCACCCCUUAAUCAAGUGGAUAGGAGUAGCGACAGUUGCUGCUAAGAUGAUGGCUUCAGAUUAGCUGAUGUACUCCUUUGUAAGGUCUUUAUGAAUAAUUAAUAAUGCCCAGAUGCAAAGGCCAUGGGUAAUCCUCAUUUUCUAAAAAUAAAAAAUAAAAAUAUAACAUGUUAAAAUUAAAGUUAGGAUUUAAAAGAUAUAAAUAUAUUUUUAAAGAAUUUGAAUAUGUAGCUAAAUAAUAUUUUAAAAUGGUUAGCUGGUAAAAAUACGUCAUAUUAAUAUUAUACAUAUUUUUCUAAUCAUUUUUCAUAUAUAACAUGCUAAACUUGGAAUUACAAUUUAAAAGAUAUGAAUAUUUUUUAAAGCAUUGAAAUCUAUCCCUAAACCGAAUUUAAAGAUGAUUGACAUGUAAAAUAACAUCAUAUUCAUAUUCUCCACAAUUUUUAAUCAAUCUUCGUAUAUAACAUGUUAAAAUUGAAGUUACAGUUUAAAAUAUAUGGUUAUUUUAAAAAGAAAUAUUUAUUCUUAAUACACUUCGGGGUGAUUAACGCAUAGGGUAUGUAAAACUGCGAAAUAAUGAUUCGUUGUGAUUCAAGUAUGGAUGUCGGGCUAAUUAGGAUAAACAUUAGGGGGUUUGUGUAAAAUGCGAAAAAUGAUUCAUUCUCACUUAAAAUAGGACCGCGGGUUGAAUUCUCAGAAACAGAGGAAUUUUUUUUGCAAAAAUGACACUGACGUACGACCAGAAGAGUUAGCCAAUUUAUUAUAGAAACAUGCCCGUGCGUUGUAACGAGAGACAAAAAUAUUACGCCCUAGCCAAAUAAGUAUGUCUCAAUACCCUAACAUAUGAGCAUCCUCUAUUUAGCAUGGUGGUCCACCGUUUUGCCAUUUAUCUUUCUUCCCACCCUCACAGUCGCUGAUAACGGCCCCGAUGUCCACAUGAUGACAAUGCAUUCGACGUGAUAAAUCCUAAGGCUAUGAGCUUCCCACUGCAUGGAGCACUUGUCAUCAUGCUGCGCAAGGGAAUGCUUAAAACUCUAAAAGCAAAUUCAUCAAGCACAAACUACUACCAACACCUAGACAUAUAAAGACUUCCCAAAAAGUAAUCAAAUCCUAGACAUAAAAGACUUCAUGAAUGCCUACUACGAACAUUUGUUAGGUUGGGAAGACAUUUUUUGAAAUGCAUGAGCAGUUUUCAAAUUCAUGAACAGUUUUUGACUCAACAAACAUUUUUUGAAUUCAUGAGCUUUUAAAAAAAUAGGGGAACAAAUUUUGAAAUUCGUGAUAUGUUUUUGAAUUUUUUGUGAACAUCUUCUAAAAUUUCAUGGACAGUUUUUCAGAUUCACGAAUAUGUUUUGAAUAUGCGAUCAUUUUUUUCAAAAUCAUGAACAUUAUUGUAUUCCCGACCAUUUUUUCCAAAUCAUUCAAGAUUGUAUUUUUCAAAUUUCAUGGACAUUUUUUUCAAAUUCCUGGAUAUGAUUGGAAUGCACGACCAUUUUAGAAAAUCAUGAAAAUUUAAUUUUUCGCGAGAUUUUUUUGGAAAUAAUGAUUUUUUAUAAUAUGUGGACAGCUUUUUAAAAUGACAAACAUUUUACAGUUCCCCGAGUAUUUUUUUAAUUGACGAACAUAUUAUGACCUUUUUUUAAAAACUUGCAACUUUUAAAAAUUUGGAAUUUUUCAAAAUCUUGAAAUAAUUUAAAGAAGGAAAAAUAAAAAACAAAUGAGAAUAGAAAAAGCAAACUACAAAAUGGAAAAAAGGGCGUCACACAGCGCGCAUGGGCCAGCCCAUGAGCUCGUGCAGCGAGGUGAGAAAAGGCGAGAAAAAAGGUGGGUAGACCUAGGGAUCAAACCAGGUCUCGAGCGUGGAAGGUUGAGUGCUUAAUCAUUGGGGCGCUUUCGUGCUUGUGAAAUAUGAAGAUAUCACGGUAUAAGAACCGUACUCCGUGGUGAUCUUGAAAUAAAAUCGAAUCAUUUUUCUUCACUUACGGGUGGCAGAGUGGGUAAUUUAUAGGCAACUCUGGGGGCAAUUUCCGUGACAUACCGCCAGAAGCAAUAGCCCCUUUAUUAUUAUUAGGUAGAGAUUAGGUAAAGAUUUGUACAAUAUUUAUGUCAUUUUUGGUUUGUAGCCCUUUCUAGAAUAUUCUAUUUAGUAUCCGAAUUGUCAUGUUUUUUUGUUUUAUAAUUGUCCUGAUUUUUUAUAGAGUUUUCCUCAUGCAUAUUUCUUUCCAAAAAAAGGAUUUUCCCUCUUUUAUUUAAAUAUAUGACUUACUUAACUAUUUUUCUUGUUAUAAAUAUAUAAAACCUGUGGUCCUCCCUUCUGUCCGGGCCAUUGCACUGAUCACAGCGGUCAGCUAGCUCAGAAUUCAGAUUGUAUUCACUCCCUUGCUUGUGAGCUACUGGAGUGCUGCUCCUUCGUCCUUUCUCACACAGUGCUUCAAGUUCAGUGUGGAAUGGUCAAUGGAGCAACCUGACCAACACGAAUGAUCGCAUUGCUUCAGAAUUCAUCAAAUCUCAGUAAAACCAUAAGUUCAUUCUUGUUAGAUCAGCACGAAAGGCAGAACCUCAAUAUGAUCAAGCUUCAAUGUUUUUCAGGUUUCUAACAUAUUCAGUUAUUCACAUACAUGAAUGUAUAUAUGCUGCUUACUUCAGGUUGUCAACAUUUUAAGCAACAUACAGACCAUACCCUGCCUUAACAUCGGUGUUCUGUUUUUCAAUGCACAUCGUCCCACAAAGUAUUACUCCAGCUACGUAGUCUGCACUCAAAGAUAAAGAUGAUGCGCGCAUUCAGUUUCAGUACACUAGCAACAUUCAAGUUGUUUUGGUAUUCCCCUUCUCCUUCGGUCAGAGACAGCAGCCACACAAAAACUGGAUCCUGACGGAAAUUUUGAGCCACUUAAAGAAGUUUGACCUAGGAUAAACCAAGAAGAUCGAUUAAUUUGGAAUGGAAAUUUGGAACCGAAGGAAUUCAUAAGCUUUGCACUAGUCUACAAGUAUAACCUUGAGAUAUUUGAGCGGUACAUUUCCAGCAGGGCUUCUCUAAAAUAUUACUGUAGCAUGAAGAUCAAUAGUGGUAUCCUUGCUUCCAACAUAAAUCGAGGCAAUCAUCUGAAUGAAUAAUAUCAUCCCAUUCUCUUUUUCCAUUUUCAGUUUGUGCCGGUACCUGAUUUGCGAACCGUCUGCAACAAAAUGUGUCACUGAUUCCUGUAGAUCUGCAGCACAAAUACAUUUCUUCGUGAGAGAUGAAGAACAUAUACAGGCAUGGAAGCAACAGGCUGACAAGCAGUUAAACUUCAGCAAACAACUUAUGGCUUACUGUAUCUUUGAAUAUUGGCAAAACCUUUGUGUGCUUAGGAAAAGCUGGCAAGCACAAGUUGCUCAAAAGUUUACUGAUGGAGCACUAACCGAGGCGAAUGCCAGCAUCCCAAGUGAUAUUCCUCGGUAUUUCUAACAUUCCCCUCUCCUCAAAACUCGCUUAAUUGAAGGCCGCUACAGCUGCGACAUCCCUGGUAAGGGAAAAUGCUUGUGGCCGUUGCCUGUAGAGAGCUCCACACCACACCAUCCACUGAAUUCCGAGCACCAAACAAGAGCACUCCUUGGCUGCUACUCCUAGCAAAUCUCUUCCAAAUGGAUGACAAAUCCAAACUUGGUUAAGUAUGUUGAGAAGCUACACUAGUAACUGCUUAUGAUAAGUGGCAACCUAAAACUGAACCAACUCCAAAGGAACACCAGUGACGUGAUAGCAUAGAUUCAGAAUUACUUCUCACGUCUCUCCUCAACUCAAGUAAAACUGGUUCCCUGGCGGCCUUGGGCUGCUCUGCAACAAACAAUGCCAAAUCCUCCCCCCGGGUUGUGCGACAAGCGGCUCCAACUCCCCCCGGGUUGUGCGACAAGCGGCUCCAACUCCGAUCGGAACUAACAUACUUCGUACCAGUUGGUUGCGAAAGCAGCAUAGCCAUAUAUGUUGCUCUCGAAUUCCUCUGCAUUGGGUUGCACUCUCCUCUUGUGAGCACUGCCUGAUGGCCCAAUUCUUGAGCUCCUGAUUAAUUAGUACUACCCUCCCAAUAUCUAUUAUAUGUCACACGAACCAUACCAUUGAAUUGAUUUCAUCACUCCAAUUGAUAAUCUAGAAAAUAUGUUCCAAACCAACCGAAACAGAGGGAGCAAUUGCAACUGUUGAUGUUAUGCGAAACAGGAGCGGGUGAGCGGUGGUCGGCUGUUGUGGGCUUUUGCAUACAGAAUGCUACAAAAUUUCUUACAUUUUAGUCAUCGGUUUUGCACUUGUGUAGUAACCUUGAGGCAUGAAGAUCAAUAGUGGUGGUAUGCAUGCACCAUCGCUAUGAACAGUUGACACAAAUCUAUGCUCUGUGGCGUAACACAUGCACAUGUAAACACCCAGGAACAAGCACGAGCUCGAAGUAAAUCUGGACCUUCGACAGGAGUUUAAUCAACUAUUCUUUUAUUUUAUGAGUCUUGACUGAAUAAGCUAGUGCCAAGCAAAGCAAAACAAGCCAACAGGCCGAGUUCAAUCAACUCUUCAUUAACAGGCCAAUAGAAACAAAACAAUGUUCUAUGUGAACAAGGAAAUAAUAAAGAAACUAAAACGUAGAGGAGGUACUGUUACAAAUAGUGCCAACUGAAUGCAACAUUAACUUGUACUGAGUCUUGACUGAAUAAAGGACAUGAGUACUGCAUUGCUGAAAGCAUAUAUGCAGGCAAAAUAAAUAGUUCAUCAUGAACAACACAGGGAAGCCUCCGUCUAGAAAAAGACAGAAUCCCAACAUACGUUGGAGAGAAUGAGCCCUGGUAACUUGGACACGAAUCAAAGGAGAUGCUGCUACCUCCAGUUGCCUAUUGAAAUGCUAGAACAGCAGCAUCCACUGCAACUGAUGAAAUCACUGAAGGCCUGAAAUUGGGAAAGUAAGAGGGAAAGUCAGACAAACAUGGUAACGAGCAUAUAUUCAGGAAAAGAUAAUCCAUUGUUGCUCAGAUGAGUAGACCGAACCUUAAGCGGAUGACAUUCAGAGGCGCUGAUCACCUCUCGCUAUUAAUAACUCGAAUUCAAUGGUGGGACAGUUUGGAUGGGCUUCUGCUGCGCGCCUCAGCCAAGCCUUGGCUGUCUCUUUGUCUUCAACACUGGACUUCCCAAUCCGCAGAAUAACCUUGACAUACUCGAGAGAAGGGAGAUGGCCCAGGCCACAGUCAAGCUCACCAUUUGCGAUCGACGGCGCAGAGACCUCGAACUGAAGGUGCUCAACCCUUGACAUAGCUCCAGGUGGAAAAAGGCUCGGUGGCGACAGAAACCUUUCGAACUUGCAGCUUGUCGCAUAUGGGAAUGCGUCGGCGCUCACAACCAACGUUUCCAUCAGGCGGUGCGCACCCAGCUCCAGACACCGAAGAGCAGGCAGCAUCCCAAUGAUCUGAAAGUCAUCCGCUUGCAGUUCUUCCACCUCUAUUCUCAGGGUGGAGAGGUGAGGAAGCGACCUUGAAUUGACCCACUUUGGAAGUCUCAAGAACAACCCGUGCCAUGACUCAAAACUACGGAGGUGUGGAGGAGGCACCCAAAUUUCACGCAUGCGAUCUAUCACGCUGCCACCAUUACCAAUAUUCAGAUUUUGCAGUUUCUGCAGGUUGCCUAGAGACUCGGCUAAUAUGUUGCUCAGAUCCUUGUCCAUCCCAUCACAGAUAAUAUAGAGCGUCCUAAGCUCUGUCAGAUGGCCCAGCUCUUUAAAAAGGUGAGGAUAUGAGGGUAACCUAACAGUUUUCAGCACUUCGAGGGAAGUCAGGCUCCCUAAACUGAAGAACACUCGCUCGGACAAGUCGAAACAUAGGCAUAACAAAUUUCUUAGCUGAACAACACUUGCAGGUAAUUCUUCUAUUCUAGUACGUUGUAUAUCCAGGGUCUACAAAAGCUGCAACUUGUUUAUGUCCACCGGGAGUUCACGAACAUCUGCAUUAUAUAGCCUUAGGUAUCUUAGGUGAAUUAAAUUCCCUAGAUACUUGAGGCUGAUACCAGAGCUACUUUCAUGCCCGCCACAAUUUCCAAGGUCCAGCACACGUAAAAAUUGGAAGCUUGAGAGAGAUGGCAACCAAUCACAGGUAACGGGAGAGAAAACAGCAAAGGUCCUCACUUUUGACAGGCUAGUGCUCUCAAACUGAUGGUUCUGAACCUUUGCCUUGAUAUUAUGAAGUGAUAACCUGCGGAAUUUCCUUUGCAGAUUAGGUGCAUGCCACUCAUCAUUAUACAAUAUGGAGAUAAAAUUCUCUUCACUUGACAAUGAGCAUAUAAGAUCAAGAACCAUAUCAUGUAUACGG